rnacentral:hammerhead_ribozyme from 1 species
AUCCAGCCGACGAGUCCCAAGUAGGACGACACACGCAUCCUGGAU